rnacentral:rRNA from 1 species
UACGUAGGGGGCAAGCGUUGUCCGGAAUUAUUGGGCGUAAAGCGCGCGCAGGCGGCGGUUUAAGUUUGGUGUAUAAUCCCGGGGCUCAACCCCGGAUCGCAUCGAAAACUGGAUCGCUUGAGUGCAGGAGAGGGAAAUGGAAUUCCACGUGUAGCGGUGAAAUGCGUAGAGAUGUGGAGGAACACCAGUGGCGAAGGCGACUUCCUGGCCUGUAACUGACGCUGAGGCGCGAAAGCGUGGGGAGCAAACAGGAUUAGAUACCCUGGUAGUCCACGCCGUAAACGAUGAGUGCUAGGUGUUAGGGGUUUCGAUACCCUUGGUGCCGAAGUCAACACAGUAAGCACUCCGCCUGGGGAGUACGGUCGCAAGACUGAA